rfam:Magnaporthe oryzae 70-15 chromosome 3, whole genome shotgun sequence.
GCUGGUAUAGUGUAAUGGUUAGCACAUGAGGUUCUGAAGAAAUGUCCUUGACAAUAAUCGUCCUCGUAAUCUAGGUUCGAUUCCUAGUACUAGCU